rnacentral:rRNA from 1 species
UACGAAGGGGGCUAGCGUUGCUCGGAAUCACUGGGCGUAAAGGGUGCGUAGGCGGGCCUUUAAGUCAGGGGUGAAAUCCUGGAGCUCAACUCCAGAACUGCCUUUGAUACUGAAGAUCUUGAGUUCGGGAGAGGUGAGUGGAACUGCGAGUGUAGAGGUGAAAUUCGUAGAUAUUCGCAAGAACACCAGUGGCGAAGGCGGCGCACUGGCCCGAUACUGACGCUGAGGCACGAAAGCGUGGGGAGCAAACAGG